GUGUGUGUGCUGCUUUGGGGCUUCAUGGAUCGAAGAUGGACAGAGGGCUCAACUGACAGGUUUCUUCCCCUCUGAAAAAACAAAGAUGGUGGAUGGUGAAAAAAUGCCCAUCUGAAGAGGAAAAAACAUAAAAAGACAAAUGGAUUAUACUCAAAUGUGUCCUUACCAUUUGGAGUGAAGAUUGAAAUCAUGCCUAUGGACAACAAAUAAGACCGCAAGCAAGCCAUCAUGACUGUACACCCAUGUACACAUGAAUGAAAGUGGCAAAAGAGACAUCUGAUUGUUAUUACACUAAAGACCAUAGGAAGCAACAUGGUUGGUGGAGAGUGCCUGC